rnacentral:rRNA from 1 species
UACGGAGGAUCCAAGCGUUAUCCGGAAUCAUUGGGGUUAAAGGGUCCGUAGGCGGUUUUAUAAGUCAGUGGUGAAAUCCGGCAGCUCAACUGUCGAACUGCCAUUGAUACUGUAAGACUUGAAUUAUUGUGAAGUAACUAGAAUAUGUAGUGUAGCGGUGAAAUGCUUAGAUAUUACAUGGAAUACCAAUUGCGAAGGCAGGUUACUAACAAUACAUUGACGCUGAUGGACGAAAGCGUGGGGAGCGAACAGG